CGGGCCACGCCGCAGCCGGAGCGCGGCCGGGCCCCGCCGCCGCCUCCUUCCGCCGGCCCGGCCGCCGGCCAUGCAUUCUUCCGGCUUCUCUGACUCCCGAAGCGCGGGCCGGGCCCCGGCCAGCCCGAGACAGCCGCGAGGGUUAUAGGGCGCCCGCUCGCGCCGCGCCUCAGCCGCCGCCGCGUAAAUGACUGCGACCCCUCGGCCGGGGACACCCGCCGCCGCCGCCGCCGCCGCGCAGCACCGCGCCCCGGGCCGCCGGCCCCCGGCCCUGCUUGUCCCCGCGCUCCACCGCCCGCCGUCCGCGCCAGCCGAGAAAGACAGGACGGACGCCAAUGUGAGAAUGGCUGUGACUUUGGAAGAAGCUCCGUGGCUGGGCUGGAUCUUGGUGAAAGCCCUGUUGAGGUUUGCCUUCAUGGUCGCCAACAACCUGGUUGCUCUUUUAUCCUACGUGUGCUAUGUAAUUGUACUUCAGCCCCUUCGACUGCUGGACAGUAAGCGGUUCUGGUAUAUUGAAGGAAUCAUGUAUAAAUGGCUUUUAGGAAUGGUGGCUUCUUGGGGAUGGUAUGCUGGAUAUACAGUGAUGGAAUGGGGGGAAGAUAUUAAAGCAGUUUCCAAAGAUGAAGCAGUAAUGUUGGUGAAUCAUCAGGCAACAGGAGAUGUAUGCACUCUGAUGAUGUGCCUCCAGGACAAAGGACUGGUUGUUGCUCAAAUGAUGUGGUUGAUGGACCAUAUUUUUAAGUACACAAACUUUGGGAUUGUUUCUCUAAUUCAUGGAGACUUCUUUAUAAGACAGGGAAAAUCGCAUCGUGACCAGCAGCUUCUUCUUCUCAAAAAGCACCUAGAAAAUAAUUAUAGGAGCAGAGAUCGAAAAUGGAUUGUUUUGUUUCCAGAAGGGGGCUUCCUCAGGAAGAGGCGAGAAACAAGUCAAGCUUUUGCCAAGAAAAAUAACUUGCCAUUUCUUACACAUGUCACUCUGCCAAGGAUUGGGGCAACAAGCAUUAUUUUGAGUGCACUUGUAGCACGACAGGAAAAUGGAAGUCCAGCAGGAGGAGACACUAAAGAAUUCGAGAGCAAAUCAAAAGGCCUCCAGUGGAUAAUAGAUACAACUAUAGCUUAUCCCAAAGCUGAACCCAUAGAUAUUCAAACCUGGAUCCUUGGAUACAGGAAACCAACAGUCACACAUGUACAUUACAGGAUCUUUCCAAUUAAAGAUGUACCCCUGGAGACUGAUGGCCUCUCUAAUUGGCUCUAUCAACGUUUUAUUGAAAAAGAGGAACUUUUAUCACAUUUUUAUGAAACAGGGGCUUUUCCACCUCCCAAGGGCCAUAAGGAAGCUGUUUCCAAGGAGAUGACCCUCAGCAAUAUGUGGAUAUUUCUCAUACAGUCUUUUGCAUUUUUGUCAGGCUAUAUGUGGUAUAACAUCAUUCAGUAUUUCUACCAUUGCCUGUUUUAGGAAUUGACUGGGACUUGUCAAGGUCACCAUAGGAGUUCAGACUUUCAUAAGCGUGCAUUAUUUUACAUGUGCAAAUCAGAAUAUAAAAAAAAAAAAGCAAAGGAAAUUCAAUGGAUGGAUUACUAUUUAUCCCCCUUUGGGAUAUUUUAAAACUCUACUAAAAUGAGGAUCAGUAAUAUAAUGACCUGCUAAUAUGUUUUAAGGACUUUCCAUGUUUUCAAAAGAUACACUGUACCACACAUUUAAGCCAACAUCACAUUCAGAGAAGAGGAAAUCAUAAAAUCAUCCUAGAAGACUAUCUGAGAGAAACGCCGUUGCCACUAGAUGUACUUGGUAAUCUAGUUCAAGCUCAGAAAGUUGUAUCCAUUCCUCUUAGCUCGUAGCGUCUCUUAGGGCAGUGCUGUAGAGCCCCCUCAUUUCCACCGGCCCUGGCCGUGUCCCUGGGAGCCCCGAGGCAGGGGUACCCUCUGAGGACCUGUUCCCCUGUGGUUUGCAGUGACACUCCAGUGUCAGUGUCAGGCCUGCUCAUGGGGGGACAGCAGUGUCCACUGGACACAUCCUGGUACUAGAAUGUGUUUCUAAAAAAGGCUAGCUCAGUCCAAUAUCGUGUUUACAUGUGCUAGUGCUUUCCCUUAUAUGAGGGGGGUCACUUGAUUUCUCUUUUUGUAUAGAAGGCAUAUCAUAGAUUGAUAAUUGUCUUUUACAAAAUGCACUUUUAUCAGAUGCAUAUAUAGCAAAGGAUUAAUAAUAUAGCCUGAAAACCAGCGUAAGCCUAGUCGGUAAGUGACGUUCUCGAGAGGCUGUGCUGUCUCCGCGUGUGUACCUGGGCGUGGAAGCCCUGCAGGCUGCCUGCUCUGAGCACCGCUGGUGUGAGGCUUCCGUUGAGCUCCGAGGCGUUUGUCUCCCAUUUUGGCUUAUUAGCACCAAUGCUCGGGGACGGCUGAAACUAAUGUAAGACAUUUAAAUGAUCAGUUUGAGGUGGAACAGGGGUUGGAUCAGAAAAACAGGAGCUAGAGCCAGAUAUGGGCUCAAAAUGGUGACAAGCUCUUACAUGGCACCCCUGAACCCGUUCUCCAUUGUCACAUCAGGUUGCUGCCGUGCCAGAGUGAUGUGACCAGGAUUCAGACCAGCACAAAAGGCUUCCCCUGUCUCUUCCCAUUGUUUUUAAGAAGAAUAAAGUCAAGUCUCUAUUCCUAGAGAACAUUUUUUCCCACUAUGUUCAUGUGAUUUACCUCAUAGUAGAACCAGACUCUUCCCACAAAGCACUGGGACCGCAUCCACCCUUCCCCUGCACCCUCAGAGUUGAGACAGAGCGUGUGUUUGGGUUUGGGACUGUAGGACUUUUAAGAUACUAGUAAGUCAGGGGUAGUUUUCUGAGAUAUGAGCAGUGUAGAUUCCCCUGUUGUCGCUAAUCGUACAAAUGGCAAUUUUGAGAAGUAGGCCAGAAAAUAAAAAUAGAGGCUCAUGUUUUCUAUUUUUAAAUAAACCAAAAAAAGAAACUGAAAAGAUAUGAAUUUUCUCCCAGUUAUGUGGGAAAGCUAAAGCAACACCAAAUAAAAGUCCACAGCAGCCUCGUCUUUAGGUUAAUUCCGUGCAUAUAUGAAAGAGAAUAAUGUGUUAAUGAAAUACCUCAUUGCAUAUUAUGCUACUACUGGUAAAAUGCAGAAGAUGGUGUUAAUGCAUUUGCUUUGGUAGUGGUUGUUAUAAGAUGCGAUUUUUUUUUUUUGAAAUCUAGACAUUUUAUUGUAUGUUUUACAGUGACAGUGAGUUGAGUAGGUGAAAUCAAUCUCAAUUAAGAGGCAUGGAUAAUGAUAGGAAGCCAAAGAGAAGCUUCUGUUUGAGGCCCAGCAAACACUGGUAGAUUACAGGAUGAAUUGAAAUUGUUCAUUUGAGGGAUUAGUCAGCCAUCUGGGGGAUAAGUUGCUCACUGUCAGAUAUGGCAUACACAGUCCUAGCUAAAUAGACCUUUUUCUCAUUGCUAAAGCAAGCCACAGGUAGGAGUGGCCAAUUCUCCUAUCAAGAAAAAAAAAAGAGAGAGAGAGAGAGAAAUGCAUACAAGCAUACAUAGAUGUGAUUUAGAGCCACUAUUGCCAUCACUGUGGUCCAAAGGAACGUGAUAUUGUUAAUAUACUGUACACAUUAAACCAACUAUUCUAUAAGACGCUUUAAUUUUCAAGUGCAGAGUCAUUUCAACAGUCUCUAGAGUGACAGAUACCAAUAGAUACGUGAGUUCAUUUUUGAAAAUAGACCUGUGGGAUGUAAAUAGAUGUGUAGUUGACCUGUGUAUCCCUCUUUGAUUGUUUAUCAACGUGUUCUCUCUCUUCUGUUUGCAAAAUACGUUCAUUUGAGAGCAUCGAUAGUGCUUUCCUCACCAGUAACUGGAGUUCUGCUCGCACUAGGGAAUGUGAAGAAAGAAUCAGUAUUCUUAUAUGGUGAAUCAGGGAAGCAGCAAUACGCCACUGUACAGAACUGGAUAAAAAUUCCUAAUUUGUACUUUCUUUGCAAAGUGAGAUGAAAGGCGGUUGAGAGACUGUACAUUUUGUUAAGGGGAAAAAAUAAAACUGUGCCAGUAGUUUGUAGAAUCUCAGUACUUCUUGAUCUCAGCUGAUCUGCCUAGAUUCCCACGUCAGAGAGGAUUGAGAACUCCCUACCGGAUCCUGGUCUCAGCAAGUCACAGCAGUGGAGCACCUGCUUGGCUAUGACCACACCGGCAGUUCACUCUUAACUUCAGAAACUAUUAUUGGUGUUGAAAUACACAGAUACGAUGGAGAAAGCUAUGCACCAGUGGAAGGUAUGACACUGGCAGCAGGUAAUACAUUCAGUGCCUCUAGUGCCCAAGUGUCCCUCCAUCAUGGCAGCUGCUGGAUUCCAGGGCCUGUCCAAGAGGAGCCCACAGAAGGACAUCAACACCCAGGACUCAGCCCAUGAACUUGAAUCCCAGCCCCAUUCAUAUAUUUCUUAUCCUCUAAACCUCACUCUCCUCACAUGUUAAAUGGGAAACUUUCAAAGAGG